rnacentral:rRNA from 1 species
UGGGGAAUUUUGGACAAUGGGCGAAAGCCUGAUCCAGCAAUGCCGCGUGUGUGAAGAAGGCCUUCGGGUUGUAAAGCACUUUUGUCCGGAAAGAAAUCCUCUGGGUUAAUACCUCGGGGGGAUGACGGUACCGGAAGAAUAAGCACCGGCUAACUACGUGCCAGCAGCCGCGGUAAUACGUAGGGUGCAAGCGUUAAUCGGAAUUACUGGGCGUAAAGCGUGCGCAGGCGGUUUUGUAAGACGGAUGUGAAAUCCCCGGGCUUAACCUGGGAACUGCAUUCGUGACUGCAAGGCUAGAGUAUGGCAGAGGGGGGUAGAAUUCCACGUGUAGCAGUGAAAUGCGUAGAGAUGUGGAGGAAUACCGAUGGCGAAGGCAGCCCCCUGGGCCAAUACUGACGCUCAUGCACGAAAGCGUGGGGAGCAAACAGGAUUAGAUACCCUGGUAGUCCACGCCCUAAAACGAUGUCAACUAGUUGUUGGGGAUUCAUUUCCUUAGUAACGUAGCUAACGCGUGAAGUUGACCGCCUGGGGGAGUACGGUCGCAAGAUUAAAACUCAAAUGAAUUGACGGGGUCAUA